rnacentral:tRNA from 1 species
CGGGGUGUAGCGCAGUUGGCUAGCGCGCAGCGUUCGGGACGCUGAGGUCGGCGGUUCGAGUCCGCCCUCCCCGACCA